rnacentral:rRNA from 1 species
CCUACGGGAGGCAGCAGUGGGGAAUAUUGGACAAUGGGCGAAAGCCUGAUCCAGCAAUGCCGCGUGAGUGAUGAAGGCCUUAGGGUUGUAAAGCUCUUUUACCAGGGAUGAUAAUGACAGUACCUGGAGAAUAAGCUCCGGCUAACUCCGUGCCAGCAGCCGCGGUAAUACGGAGGGAGCUAGCGUUGUUCGGAAUUACUGGGCGUAAAGAGUACGUAGGCGGUGAUUCAAGUCAGAGGUGAAAGCCUGGAGCUCAACUCCAGAACUGCCUUUGAAACUAGAUCGCUAGAAUCAUGGAGAGGUUAGUGGAAUUCCGAGUGUAGAGGUGAAAUUCGUAGAUAUUCGGAAGAACACCAGUGGCGAAGGCGACUAACUGGACAUGUAUUGACGCUGAGGUACGAAAGCGUGGGGAGCAAACAGGAUUAGAUACCCUGGUAGUCCACGCCGUAAACGAUGAUAACUAGCUGUUCGGGGUCUACGAUCCUGAGUGGCGCAGCUAACGCAUUAAGUAUCCGCCUGGGGAUACGGUCGCAAGAUUAAAACUUAAAUGAAUUGACCGG